rnacentral:rRNA from 1 species
UACGUAGGUGGCGAGCGUUGUCCGGAAUUACUGGGUGUAAAGCGCGUGUAGGCGGGAGGCCAAGUCUGUGGUGAAAUCGCUCGGCUUAACUGGGCGGGGUCCAUGGAAACUGGUCACCUGGAGGUCGGUAGAGGCAAGUGGAAUUCCCGGUGUAGUGGUGAAAUGCGUAGAGAUCAGGAGGAACACCGGUGGCGAAGGCGGCUUCCUGGACACUUACUGACGCUGAGGCGCGACAGCGUGGGGGAGCGAACAGG